UUUUUUUUUUUUUUGAGAUGGAGCCUCACUGUGUAGCCCAGGCUGGAGUGCAGUGGCGCGAUAUCAGCUCACUGCAAGCUCCGCCUCCCAGGUUCACGCCAUUCUCCUGCCUCAGCCUCCCGAGUAGCUGGGACUAUAGGCACCCGCCACCACGCCCGGCUAAUUUUUUUUUUGGAUUUUUAGUAGAGACGGGGUUUCACCGUGUUAGCCAGGAUGGUCUCGAUCUCCUGACCUCGUGAUCCGCCUGCGUCGGCCUCCCAAAGUGCUGGGAUUAUAGGCGUGAGCC
rnacentral:lncRNA from 10 species